CUGGGAAUUUAUCCGAAAACCCAUCAAACAAAGUAGGAG
rnacentral:ncRNA from 1 species